rnacentral:lncRNA from 1 species
AAAGGAUUCUGGCUUCUAAGGAUCUUUGAUGAAAAGGUAUCCUGCACUGAAGCUGGAGGUCAGGGGUCAGAUGCUGUGCGCUGAUAGAAGAAUCUCUCCCAUUUUGGAGAAGGGAAUGGCAAAUCACUUCAGUGUUCUUGCCUGGAGAAUCCCCAUGGACAGAGGAGCCUGGCGGACUACAGUCCAUGGGGUCACAAAAGAGUUGGACACGACUGAGAAACUAACACUUUCACUUUCUGGUCCACCUUCUUCCCUCUUGGCAGUGUGAAAGGUAGGAACGGGAAAGAGGUAGGUCAUGCGCAGCCUUGCAGGGUGAGAAGGGAGCAUCUCCAUAAUUGGAACCAGCAUCACAGAAGUAGGGGCUGUGCCG